rnacentral:tRNA from 1 species
GACCGCGUAGCUCAGUUGGAAGAGCAUUGGGCUAGUAUUCCAAAGGUCGGAGGUUCGAAUCCCACCGUGGCCG